CCUACGGGAGGCAGCAGUGGGGAAUUUUGGACAAUGGGCGAAAGCCUGAUCCAGCCAUUCCGCGUGAGUGAAGAAGGCCUUCGGGUUGUAAAGCUCUUUCGCAAGGGAAGAAAACUUAGUCUCUAACAUAGACUGAGGUUGACGGUACCUUGAUAAGAAGCACCGGCUAACUACGUGCCAGCAGCCGCGGUAAUACGUAGGGUGCGAGCGUUAAUCGGAAUUACUGGGCGUAAAGCGUGCGCAGGCGGUUUUGUAAGUCAGAUGUGAAAUCCCCGAGCUCAACUUGGGAACUGCGUUUGAAACUACAAGACUAGAAUAUGUCAGAGGGGGGUAGAAUUCCACGUGUAGCAGUGAAAUGCGUAGAGAUGUGGAGGAAUACCAAUGGCGAAGGCAGCCCCCUGGGAUAAUAUUGACGCUCAUGCACGAAAGCGUGGGGAGCAAACAGGAUUAGAUACCCUGGUAGUCCACGCCCUAAACGAUGUCUACUAGUUGUUGGUGGAGUAAAAUCCAUGAGUAACGCAGCUAACGCGNGAGAGACGCCGNGGAGGUACGGUCGCGAGAAGUAAACGUUAAAGUAAGUAGACGCGUGAGAGAGACGACGACGACGACGAGGGAGGAGG
rnacentral:rRNA from 1 species